GACGAACGCUGGCGGCGUGCUUAACACAUGCAAGUCGAACGGAAAGGCCCUGCUUUUGUGGGGUGCUCGAGUGGCGAACGGGUGAGUAACACGUGAGUAACCUGCCCUUGACUUUGGGAUAACUUCAGGAAACUGGGGCUAAUACCGGAUAGGAGCUCCUGCUGCAUGGUGGGGGUUGGAAAGUUUCGGCGGUUGGGGAUGGACUCGCGGCUUAUCAGCUUGUUGGUGGGGUAGUGGCUUACCAAGGCUUUGACGGGUAGCCGGCCUGAGAGGGUGACCGGCCACAUUGGGACUGAGAUACGGCCCAGACUCCUACGGGAGGCAGCAGUGGGGAAUAUUGCACACUGGGCGGAAGCCUGAUGCAGCAACGCCGCGUGCGGGAUGACGGCCUUCGGGUUGUAAACCGCUUUCGCCUGUGACGAAGCGUGAGUGACGGUAAUGUGUAAAGAAGCACCGGCUAACUACGUG
rnacentral:rRNA from 1 species